CAGACGGCGAUGUGCGUCUUUCAGGCGAUGCUGCAGCGUGACGUAUAAUCUAGUGGACGGAACGGAUCAACAACAGCGAGUCAGCCACCUUGGUAGCCAACAGCCGAAACAUUUAGACUGUUUCUGUGCAUAUUUGCCUCUGUGUUUUAAAUAUACUUCUGACAUCUAGUUAAUUGCCCCCAUUUAAAUGUUAUAGGUACAUUGUUAGUCAACUAGCUGGCUUGAUAAGUUAGCCUAGCACUAAACUAGUCGCUCAUGCUAACUAGCUAGCUAACAUCCCCGACCAUGAGCUCACUGAUGUAUUCCUCGCCUACUAAAGAAGGAUAGGUCUGCUGGACGGAGAAAGAAGCUCUGUGGCUAGAACAUUGUCAUGAAAGAGGAGAAGGAAGACGCGUUCAGAGUGAAGGAGGAGGAGGAUGUUACUGUAAAAGAAGAGGAGGAAGAGAAAGAAGAGGAUGCAGUUUUUGGAGUGAAGAAAGGGAGAGAUAACGGUCAUAUUGACAGAGGAGUCAGGAGAUCUGAUUACCAUCAGAGAGGGACCAGACUCUCACUCUGACAGCAGGGAGACUCCUUUAGGGGAACCAGACCCAGAGACGCCCAAACCAGCGAGACAACACCACUGUUCCCAGUGUGGAAAGCGUUUUAAGUGGUUAAGGAACCUGAAAGUACAUGAGAGAACGCAUACAGGAGAAAACCCUUACGAAUGCUCCCACUGUGGAAAGAGUUUUACCAAGUUAGGGAACCUAAAAGAGCAUGAGAGGACACACACAAGAGAAAAGAGUUUCCAAUGUUCCCAGUGUGGAAAGAGGUUUACCCAGUUACGGUACCUGAAACAACAUGAAGAAAUACACACAGAAGAUAGGAAGACCUACCACUGCUCUCAGUGUGGAAAGAUAUUUACUGGGUUAGGGAACCUGAAAAUACAUAUGAGAAGACACUCUGGAGAGAAGCCGUACCACUGUUCCCACUGUGUAAAGAGUUUUACUCAGUUAGGGAGCCUGAAAACACAUGAGAGGGGACACACUGGAGAGAAGCCUUAUCACUGUUCACACUGUGGAAGGAAUUUUAGGUGGUAUGCGAGCCUGAAGGAGCAUGAGAGAAUACACACAGGAGAAAAGCCUUACCACUGUUCCAAUUGUGAAAAUAGUUUUACCCAUCGAGGGAGCCUGAAAGCGCAUGAGAGAAUACACUCAGGAGAAAAGCCUUACAAAUGUUCCCGAUGUGAAAAGAGUUUUACCCGGUUAGGGAGCUUGAAAAAGCAUGAGAGAACACACACAGGAGAAAAGCCUUUCCAACAGACUAAUACACAGGAGGAGAAGACAUACCACUGCUCUCAUUGUGAAAAGACAUUUUCCCAGUCAGAGGACCUGAAAUCACAUGAGAGAAUAGAGAGGCUGUGUUCUGACUUAUGUUUUUGAUUGAGAAAUUGUGUUUUUGUUCAUUCUACAUUAAAUAAUAUUGUAUGAAUGAAAUCAUACUGAAAAAUAGGUCUACAUGUUUUUUCCAGCUCAAGACAUGAUCAUGUCGAAAAUCGGAUUAAAAGAGUAAAAAAAAAAUGUUUUGAUUAUGAACUUAAGAUUGAUUGAAUGCAAGUGUAAACCCCUAAAUGUUGUUCACUAUAUCAUUGGGAUAUUUCAAACAUGUUAAUUAUUAAAUAGAUUGAUAUUAGUAUUUCUUCAUUCAGAUUGUCAUUGUAAAUGCGUAUUGGUUCUCAAUUGACAUAUCUGAUUAAAUAAAUGUGAAAUAAAGUAAAUGCCAUAUUA